UACGGAGGGUGCAAGCGUUAUCCGGAUUCACUGGGUUUAAAGGGUUCGUAGGCGGGCAGGUAAGUCCGUGGUGAAAUCUCUGAGCUUAACUCAGAAACUGCCAUGGAUACUAUUUGUCUUGAAUAUUGUGGAGGUAAGCGGAAUAUGUCAUGUAGCGGUGAAAUGCUUAGAUAUGACAUAGAACACCAAUUGCGAAGGCAGCUUACUACACAGUUAUUGACGCUGAGGCACGAAAGCGUGGGGAUCAAACAGG
rnacentral:rRNA from 1 species